GGGGUCGACUGGUUUUGACAGCGAGACUCAUUGUUUAGUAAGCACGUCGUGUAAUGGCAUUGAAACACGUAAAAGGCUAGACCAAAUUUUAAACGGCGAGAAUAACUACGCUUUAGCUGCAUAAUCUGAAUUAUAGUAAGAUUAGCCUAGGCUCACAAGGUGAGCAAGCUUUAUGUCUCCAGAAAGCCUUGGUUAAUGGCGUUCUAUUUUGAGGCAUCGUAAAUAUUAACUAAGAUAGUGUAGCGCUUUGAUGCAUUAUCGAGAUUAAGAAGCUACGUUUUAAGUAGGUUGUUUUUUAUCAGCUUAUAACCGACAAUUAAUAAAAAACUAAGCGUGUAGAAAGUUAAGUAAUAGCUUGUUUGGACGAGGGUUCGAAUCCCUCCGACUCCACGA
rnacentral:tmRNA from 1 species